rnacentral:lncRNA from 1 species
AGCAAAAGAUGACUUAGUUGAGUCACUGACUGACUGUGCCAUUGAAAUCUGGUCUAAACUCGUUAUUCAAGCCUAGGGCCUUACAGACCGACCGGUUGAUUGUUUAGCAACAAAACCGAUACUUGCACAACUAUGGGGAAAAACAGGCUUGGCUUAGAUUGUUGACAACAUGUAAACUAUAUUUAGUCUCCAAAUGUUAAUUGAAAACAUACAUAUAUUUGCACAAUGAGCAUUUGUUGUCUCAAAUACAUCGUUACAGUUGUUGGCUAGCUAGCAAAUUUUAGCCAUAUUAGCGUUGACAUGAAAUCAGUCAAAACACCUCAAAACAAGACAUGGCAUCAAGAAUAAGACAAACCUAGCUGAAACGAACAAUCCACCUACGAUUCCCCACAUGGCAGCUUGUUGUCAUUGCUGCUAUCUGACCGUUCAGACUCAUAACAACGCACAGCUUCUGGCCCCCUCGAUGCACGCAUCAUUUUCCUGACUUUGUCUGCCAACCCGUCUAUGGGAAGUGAUCUGUCGACCUGUGUGGAGGUAGAUACAUACAAACAGAAAGGUCAGAGGGAAACAGUCUGACCCGUCUUACCGCCUCAUUUGUCAUCUCCCUUCACUGGCUGUGUGAGCGGUAGCUGACAGACGGGGUAUAAGCCUGGCCUGUCUGGUGUUGAGAGCCGGGCUUUCCACGCUGAAUAGAGAAACUAUGCACCAACGCCGGAGGAAAACAUGUAACGACACACACUGGCACACUCCCCCACUGAGAGCUGCCUUAGAGAGGACCUGAGCCCUCGGACCAUGGCUUAGAACUACCUGUCCUGAUGACUCCUUGCUGUCCCCAGUCCACCUGGUCAUGCUGCUGCUCCAGUUUCAACUGUUCUGCCUGUGGCUAUGGAACCUUGACCUGUUCACUGGACGUGCUACCUUGUCCAGGACCUGCUGUUUUGGACACUCUCUCUACCGCACAUGCUGUCUCUAACUCUGAAUGAUCGGCUAUGAAAAGCCAACUGACAUUUACUCCUGAGGUGCUGACCUGUUGCACCCUCUACACCCACUGUGAUUAUUAUUAUCUGAUCCUGCUGGUCAUCUAUGAACAUUUGAACAUCUUGGCCAUGUUCUGUUAUAAUCUCCACCCUGCACAGCCAGAAGAGGACUGGCCAGAGCCUGGACUCAGAGCCUGGUUCCCCUCUAGGUUUCUUCCUAAGUUCUGGCCUUUCUAGGGAGUUUUUCCUAGCCACCAUGCUUCAACAUCUGCAUUGCUUGCUGUUUGGGGUUUUAGGCUGGGUUUCUGUACAGCACAAAAGGGCUUUAGAAAUAAGUUGCAAUCGGGAUUCAAACUGGCAACCAUGCGGGUCGCAACCCAUGUGUAACGCCCUACCACCUGUAAGCAGAGAUGUGCAGUAUUUCAAUUACUUUUGAUUAUUUAGUAAUUUGUAUUAUACUGGUCUGAACUCCAAUAUAUUUUGUAACAAAAUACUUUUCUAUACCAUUUUGUGUCCCCCUUUCACCCUGCAUUGAUAUCAGAAGUCUGAUGGCACUAUGGUGUGAUAAGAGCG